AUCUAUGAUCAUACCACCCUGAACACACUCGAUCUUGUCUGAUCCCAAAAGCUAAGUAGGGUCAUGUCUGGUUAGUACUUGGAUGGGAGAAAGUACUUUAUAGAAGCUACUGACAUUCUGUUUU
rnacentral:rRNA from 1 species